ensembl:lncRNA
CUGCAGCAGGAUGUGAUCCACCAGCAAGGAGGGACACCAAUAAGGCGUCCGAUAAGAUAAUCCUGGGUCUCUGAGCUAAUUUCUAUCUACUGCAAGAAGCUUUUCUGCUAAGGAGUGAUUCAGGGUCACUGAUUUUUGGAACCAGCAAGCAGACCUCAGGGUUGAGAAAUUCACAGAACCCCCAAAGCACAGGAAACAAAAUUAAAAUAAGGCAAUAGGGUCACUCCAGCUGUCAUGUGCCUUUAAGAUUUACACUCCAGUUUCCCCAUGACAUUGGGACAUGCAGUGUUUGAAUAUACAUAUAUGGUAAGAGCAUUUACUGGUCACAUUAUCUUGACCAGAAAAUGAAGAAAAGAAUGAAAGAAAAACAUGAAAAAAUAAGAAGUGUUCUCAUAUUCUCACCCAGAGGAGCACUGAUGGGUUAUGAACCCUUUCAGAGUCAUACAGCAGAGAGAAAUGGUUGCCUUGGUAACAAGACAGGCCAGUCAGUUGCGCACACUCUCCCAAGAGCUUCUAAUUUAUUCAGUAAAUGGAGGCUAGAACAGGUGGCUAACCUAGAUGAUGGCAAAAACCUUUAUCUCUGCAAUGCUGGCUUCCUCCACAUUCACUUGAAUACAAAUUCUAGUCUCUUUCCUUUAUGCUGGAAAAGUUAACAUGCCGAUGUGACUGCACAUGUCUUAGUACACAGGAAAGCUGUGAGCAUUUGUCAUUUUCUAACCACAUAUCAUAGUGUCUGAGAUUUCACAAAAUUAUGAUACCACAGCUUCGUGUCACCAGUUACUUUGAAAGUGAAAAUCACUGCAAGCCCGAUUACUGGUCUUCCAGUAAAUCAGAUAUCAUUGUGAAUUUUAAAAGGAAGAGAGAGUUUAUUGCUGAGUUUCACAAUGCUUGCUUUAAAUGACAAACAACCUCAAAAAUUCCAAUUCCAUAAAGCCAUCUGCAAGCACAGGAGUGAAACCAAUUUUGGAUUGUCAUUAAAAAAAUAGAAGGAAUCAUAUCAAGCCACUUAAAGCCAAAGUUAUUUAUUAUAGAAUUAAAUAAUGUCAUAUAGAGAAUGUGUCUGAGAAGUUAGUGGUACUUUUUGAAAAUACAGCACGAAUACUUUCAUGGAUGCCUUUCCAUUUCCUUUUCUAGCCUCAUAUCUAAACUCCCCCUAGUAUAUCUGAAGCUUCAGACAGCAGGAUCCCAGGGCAUCCUGCUCCUCACAUUUCUGCCCUUUGCUGCUGCUCUUGUCAGAUGUGCUUCCAGCACCGCAUUCCAUGCUCGGUGCAUAGUCACUCUCAAGGCUACAUGCAAACACUUCUCUCUUCCUAAACCCUUUCUUCCUUGACCCAUUGGGAACAGUUGCUUGCAUGAUAAGAAACUCCCCAUGUACCCCUCUACAAGUGACUCCAUCACUGGUUUCCAUACUGACAUUUCCUUCAGAUUGAGUCUGUCACAUCUCUCAGAUCUUAGAUGUAGGGACUGCAUUAUAAUCAUGCCUCAUGUCAAAAGCGUUUCCAGGCACAUAGUAUGAAAUCAUAAUUAUCUGAUGAAAGAAUGAAUGAAUUAAUGAAUAAGUCAACUGAUGACUGUCUAAAUGAAAUGACUGACCAAAAUUCUGCACAUGUCUGCUAGAUAAUAUUUUCUGAAAUUGAAAUUUUACUAUUUUAAAAAAGGCUUGAAAAUCAUUCUGGAGUCUCUUACAAAUGCAGUACUAAAUGGAGCUUAUCUUUGUAAUUUGGUUUUGAUCUGUCUUCAAGCUGCUGACCCUGUGAAUUCCCCGACUCUGAGAAACCCCACUAAAUAUCAGAAGAUUCCAAGAACAGACCUUGAAAUACACUAGACUCGAUAUAGGACAUCAUCAGUCUCACUUGACUACUCCAAGCCACAUAGAAUUAGGUAAACAAGUGUUUGUUAGGAGUGAUAUUUUAAGAUAGUAGGUGGUGUUAGGGAGCUGAAGUCUUAGCUUUCAUGUAUUGAUCUCUUCUUCACAUCGUGCAGUUGUUUCCAGAGGUGACCUUGUGGAGUGUGGAUGUUUCCUUGACAACCAUGAUAACCACCUCCAGCAUGUAGGGGAAAUACUUCUCUGCUUGUUUUCUACUCCACUGCCAUAGAGAUGCUCUGUUGAUUCAAAGAAAAAAAGAACCUCUCCUUUGUAAAAUGCAGUCAGCUCCUCGGGGCCAUUGCAAGUUAUGCUGGAAAACAAGAGCUGCUUUCAACAUCACAAUCUGCCUUGAAGAACUAAGAGAGAAGACUCUGCUAAUAUUACGUCAAGAAUGCCUUAUACCAGGCCCUAACAUCAGAGAAUGCAAAAUUUCCAUAGAAAACCUGGAAAGGAGAAGAGGAAACACAAGAAAAAGCACCUGGUGCAGAGCCCUAAUUCCUACUUGAGGUUGUGAAAUGACCUGGAUGUUAUUAAAUCACCACAAUCUUUAGCCAUGCAGAAAUGGUGGUCCACCGCCCACUGUCAACCCAAGGAGGAAAAGGGCAGCUGACAAAAGGAUGCUCCUUCUGGAGAAACACACAUAAACAGCUGACCUGAACAAAGGGUUGCUCAUGGACCCCAGACUGAUAGCUGGAAAACCAGCAUAGGACUGUUCGAGACCCCCUGAAAGAGGAUGCCAGUUUGGAGGUCUGGACAUCUUUGGGGCCACUAGUAGUGGAUCAGUAUUUACCCCUAGUACACAAAUGAACUUUGGGGUCCCUCUCUUCAUAGAGGGAUAUUCUGGCAGCCUAGACACACGGGGAAGGUCUAGGCCCUGCUCCAAAUGAUGACAGCCUUUGAAGAUCCUCACCCUCCCUGGGGAGCAGAAAGGGGUUGGGAUAGGGGGAUAGGUGCUGGGCAAGGGAGGGGGCGAGGAAAGGAAACUGAGACUGGCAUGUAAAAGAAGCUUGUUUCUAGUUUAAAUUUAAAAAUAAAACAGAAAAAAAAAACAAAGGAUGCUCAUUCAGAAGGAAGCUGGAGUGAAAGCACCUAAUUCAAGAUGAGUGGGAACUGUCCCAAGAAACAUGUUUUGGAGAAAGAUAGAAGGGGGGAGAGAGAGAGAGAGAGAGAGAGAGAGAGAGAGAGAGAGAGAGAGAGAGAGAAUAAAAAAAGAAAUUUUCCCUGUUCAUCAGAUAAAUGUUUCAACCAAAAAUAUUGGAGAAAAUAGAAAAAUGACACACAACUACUGUGGAGCAACAAAUUAU